GAAACGAACACGAUUAAAAUAGACCAAAAGAAAAGAAAGAAAAGAAAACCUUUCUAUGUACAGAUUCUAAAUCGUACUCCCCAUACAGUCAGAGGCAGGGAGUCGAGGGCAGAGGCAGCAGGCGGAGAGAGGGAGAUAGGGCGAGGGAAGGAGAACGCGGAGAGAGACGAAGGGAGUGGGAGACCAGCGACAGCGAGCGCCAGGGCACCGCAGGCACACUGGAUGCCCAGUCCGCCGGCCCAGCCGCCCUCGGACCCUGGACCGUGCGUCGUGGGCACCAGAAACGAGACUCGGCCAAAUCCUGCCUCACCAGCAGGUAGAUGAAACUCAAGAGAAAAGGUGUGGAUAAAUGAAACUAGCCCAUGAUGAACCUGUUUUCUCCGUGACCACAAUAUUAACCAGGAUGAAUGGCGGUGGCAGUGGGCCUGCAUCACAGGUUGCAGCAGAUGUUCUCAAUAUUUCUAUUAAAAUUUCCUUAUUUCCAUAUGCAAGAGGAGCCCCAGAGCUGCAUCCUUAUGGUAGCUACCAUGCCGUGAUGUAAGCUGCCAUUCACUGGGGAGCUUUGGCAAUAGAAUUGGCUAGAUCAGGAAGCCUAUGUCAACUAUGGAACAACAACUUGCAGCUCAUCUCUAUUGAUGUUAUUUCUUCCACUGACAUCUUGAACCCCUCAGUCAUCCAUGAGGCUUGGAAUCAACUUCUUCCAAACUCCUGCUCAUGUUGAUAUUUUGAUCUCCUUUUAUGAAACAUGGAUGUUUUAAUAGCAUCUAGAAUGAGAAAUCUUUUCCAGAAGGCUUUCAAUUGACUUUGCCCAGAUCCAUCAGAGGAAUCGCUAUCUAUGACAGGACCUCUAACAAUGAUAUUGGAAGAAUAGAUACUAAGUCUUGGAGAGAUACACUGCCUCUAGGACUGGGACAGAUAGCCACUGAGUACCUGCUUCAAAUCACCCUGCACGUUUUCUCUUUGGAAAGAUAAGCACUGGAGAACCAUCUCGUUACCUUCAGCAGAAAUGGAAACAAAUCAAGACAUUAAGAAUGCCGCAGUGGACAGCAGUUAUGCAAGGUUCAGCAGAGGAAGUUUUCAAGAUGGUGUGCCUCACUAGCCAGAAAUCAGAAAAGAUCGAAGCUAGCCUUUUCAUCUCAGCUGCUCCUUAAAUCAGUGCAACCCCUCCAAAUUAAUGUGAAUUGAAACUUGCAUUGCUUUUCAACUUAAUUGAAUACUUACUAUAUGUGAACCACUGCACAAAAUAGGGGAAGAAGAUGUGGGAGACAAAGAUGUGGAGCCUGUCUUCAAUAAAUUUACAGUUAGUUUCAG
ensembl:lncRNA NR2F1-AS1 NR2F1 antisense RNA 1